GGGGGCCGGGGCUACAAGGGGGCGGCCAUUUUUUUAACUGGAGGAGCCAUAGGAGGAGCCGCCAACGGAGGAGCGAUUAUUAGAAUAAUUACAGCUGCAGUGUGUGGAAAGCGCGGGAGGGAGAUCUCCGGCGGGCGGGAGCUCCCAUUGGCUGCCGGAGAACACAUGCUCACCAUGCUGGUUGUCUCAGUUCCUCUCUCCCUGCUUGCUGCAGGCAGGAGGAGUGGAGCGGAGUAGCUUGGUUUAGUUGAGAGAGCAGCUGCUGCUGGGGACGUUCUCUGACUCUGCCUGCCUGCCGUUUGCCCACCACACUGCCCUCUGGCUGCCUUUUAUUCUUCUGUUGUGCAUUAACAAAUGUCUAGAGAGCUGCAAGAGCAGAAGAUGCUCACAUGGACCAUGGUGCCUAAGUUUGUGCAGUGGCUGACACACAGAUAAUGUGUAUGUAGUAACACAUGAGAUUCUAUUUGCAUUACUCAGUAGAUGGAUGUGAUCCAUGGCACAAGGUAUUCCCUUAGGGGAUGGAGCCACUCUGGGAAGAGCAUCUAGGCUCCAAGUUCCUUCCCUGGCAUUUCCAAGAUAGGGCUGAGAGAGAUUCCUGCCUGCAACCUUGGAGAAGCCACUGCCAGUCUGUGUAGACAAUACUGAACGAGAUGGACCUAUGGUUUGAUUCAGUAUAUGGCAGCUUCCUAUGUUUCUGUGUUCCACAGCAAACCGUUGUGCACCUGGUAGCAUAGAUCCACAUUUGGAAACCUGUGAAACGCUAAUAUUAUUUUGUAAGAUACAUCCUUAACCAAUGUGCUUGAAGCAUGACUAUAUGUACUACCAGUGGGAAACCUUGUGAUAAACACUACUGUACAUUAUUAUUUGUUUAUGUGAACAUUAUUCAUAUGUUUGUAAUUGAUUAAUAGUAGUUGUUCGUGCCCUCGUCACCUCUAGGUUCAAUGACUGUAAUGCAGAACUGCUCUUGAAAACAAUUUGGCAACCUCAGUUGGUUCAGAAUGUGGCUGCCAGGUUUUUGGGUUGGGCCAAGAGAUUGCAACACUUCACAGAUUCAUUCCCAACUUCAGAUGCUCUUACUAGAGCAGCCCCAUCCCCUGAGAGGAAUCUCUCACCGUGCCCACACGCCUCCCAUUCAAAUGCAAACCAGAGCAGACUCUGCUUAGCCAAGAGGCCAACUCAUGCUUGCUACCACAAGACCAGCUCACUAGAGAGAUGUAUACUCCCUAUUCAGCUCUUUGCCUCUCCCGUCCAUUGGUGUGGCUUAUAGCUUUUUCCUCUCCCCUCUUUUGCGAUCCUUUUGGACGGAAUAAGGCCAUAUCGACGCAUCAGUGCUCACCUACUGGAAUCAACGAGGUUCCUUCCCAGGUGAGCGUACCCAGGACUGGGCUGCAAAGCUGCAAUCCUGCGUGCCACUUCCCUGGGAAUCAGCCCACUGGACCUCCUACCGCGUGCAGCCUGUAUCGUGCUGCAAAUGGCCGUGAGGUGCCCCGAGCUCUUGGGGGGCAGCAGACAUUCAUAGCAAUGCAAGACGACUCGCACCUUUGUGACGAAGGCACCACUCGGCGAGACUCCGCAUUCUAAACUCUAUUUACAGCACGAGGGACACCCCAGGAGAGCGUCGGCCGGGCCGGGCCCCCACCUGGCCUUUCCUCAGGCAUCUACCCAGCUCCCCCUUCAGCCUCCCGGGGAGAAAAGCUGCCCGCCCGCCACGCACAUGCUAUUCCCCAGUGGGCUCCAGCCACAGGCCAGGCCGGACUAUACCAUCCAGAGGGGAUGGGAGCCCGCCAGCUCUGCAGCACCUGAGCCACGGGGCAUGGGCCUAGCCGCGUUUUUCUCCCCCCCGCUUACUUCACUGGUAGUCCAUUUGUUUCCAGGCUCAAGUUAGAGUGUUGCUUUUAACUGAAUGCCCUAAAUGCUGUAUCUCAUGGUAUCUCCAGAGCCAAUAUGAACCUGCCUAAGAACUUGGAGCCACUUUGAAGGCCCUCCUCUGUAUCCAUGCCAUCAGAGUCAGAUCAAGCAGGCAAGAGAGACAGAGACAGACUUCUUAGUGGUGGCACUAAGCACCCUCCCCAUGGUGGUAUACCAGUUCUCAUCACUGUCUGUCUUUUGAAAAUUGUUCUAUGCCAGCAUGCUUUUACUUAGAUCUAUCUUUCUGUGCUUUGUUUUAAACUGUUCCUGCUGUUUUAUGUUUCAAGACUGAUUGACGUAUAAUCUAGCACAAACAAUGCAAAGUGAAAACCUUGAGGAACCACAAAAGAUGGGGGGGGGGGUUUCCGGGUGAAAUAACAUGAUAGAAUGCUAUUUUACUGAGCCUUUUCAUGCAAUCAUGUGGGGGUGAAUUGAGGGGGUAAAGAGCUCCUACCCUCAUAGGCACAAACAGAACAUCUGGGGCAGCAAACAAACAAGCCAGGAGAAGCCUCCACUGCUGAAAUCAUAAGCCUGAACAACAGAAGGCCCUCUGAGGAUUGAGUUAGCCAUCCCAGCAUACAUUAUACUGCCAUUCUUUGCUAUGAACCACACCGCCCAUUGAGAUCAUCUGGAGAGGUUCGUCUGCAGUUGCCACCAGCUCGUCUGGUGGCUACUCAGGGAUGGGCCUUCUCCAUUGCUGCCCUGAGGCUUUGGAACACACUUCCUGCUGAAAUAAGAUCUUCCCCAUCUCUUACAACUUCUAAAAAGGCAGUCAAGACGCAUUUGUUCACCCAGUCCUUUAAUUAGAUAUUGUUUUAAUUGUGUUUUUAAUGGUUUUAGCAUUUUAAAUUUUAAAUUGCUGUAAUGUUUUAAUCUCUUUAUCUGUUGUUUUUAUGGUUUUGUUGUAAACCGCCAGAGACUUGCAUUUUGGGCAGUAUACAAAUGUGUUAAAUAAAAUAAAUAAAAUUAGAAUGGCAACCCUCAUUACAUCAUCAGCUGUCCUCUGAUUGGCCAUGACAAGAGGCAUGCCCAGCCCUCCUGAAUGUACUGCAAGCAUCAGGAUCAUAGAGUGUGCUUUGCAGAACAGUACAUUCACUGAUGGCAGCCUCUGAAGGCAGAGCUCUCUCCUAACAUGGCUGAAGGGGCAUGGUGUCCAUUAGACAAGGGGGUGAAAAUGUCCUUGGGCCUGGACUGGUCAGGGGGUCCACAAGGGCCCCCACUGGAGCCCACCACUACCCAGCUGCCCACCACUGCCCUCUGCGCCACCACUGCCCUCAGUGCCUGCUGCUGUCCCACCCUAGCCCCAUCGCUCAUACUGCCCAUAAUCUUCACUGCCAGGGGACCAGGCCACCACCCCCCUUGGUGAGGGCAGGCAGGCUUCUCCCCCACACUCCUGGAUGGCCUGCAGCUUCUCUCAGGCCU